rnacentral:rRNA from 1 species
AUUGAACGCUGGCGGCAGGCCUAACACAUGCAAGUCGAACGAGUGGCGGACGGGUGAGUAAUGUCUGGGAAACUGCCUGCUGGAGGGGGAUAACUACUGGAAACGGUAGCUAAUACCGCAUACCAUCAGAUGUGCCCAGAUGGGAUUAGCUAGUUGGUGGGGUAAUGGCUCACCAAGGCGCCGAUCCCUAGCUGGUCUGAGAGGAUGACCAGCCACACGGGAAGUGAGACACGGUCCAGACUCCUACGGGAGGCAGCAGUGGGGAAUAUUGCACAAUGGGCGCAAGCCUGAGGCAGCCAUGCCGAGUGUGUGAAGAAGGCCUGCGGGUUGUAAAGUACUUUCAGCGAGGAGGCGUUACCCGCAGAAGAAGCACCGGCUAACUCCGUGCCAGCAGCCGCGGUAAUUC